GAGUUUGAUCUUGGCUCAGGAUGAACGCUAGCGGCAGGCUUAACACAUGCAAGUCGAGGGGCAGCACGAUGUAGCAAUACAUGGGUGGCGACCGGCGCACGGGUGCGUAACACGUAUGGAAUCUGCCUUGUACUGGGAGAUAGCCCUCCGAAAGGAGGAUUAAUAUCCCAUAAUAGUUCGAGUGGCAUCACUUGGAUUUGAAAGCUCCGGCGGUACAAGAUGACCAUGCGCACGAUUAGCUAGUUGGUGAGGUAAUGGCUCACCAAGGCUACGAUCGUUAGGGGGCCUGAGAGGGUUAUCCCCCACACUGGUACUGAGACACGGACCAGACUCCUACGGGAGGCAGCAGUGAGGAAUAUUGCGCAAUGGAGGCAACUCUGACGCAGCCAUGCCGCGUGCAGGAAGAAGGCGCUACGCGUUGUAAACUGCUUUUAACCGGGAAGAAACCCCCAGGACGUGUCCUGGGGUUGAC
rnacentral:rRNA from 1 species